rnacentral:rRNA from 1 species
AUGUUGGCCGGGCGACGGUUGUCCCGGUUUAAGCGUGUAGGCUGGUUUUCCAGGCAAAUCCGGAAAACUAAGGCUGAGGCGUGAUGACGAGGCACUACGGUGCUGAAGCAACAAAUGCCCUGCUUCCAGGAAAAGCCUCUAAGCAUCAGGUAACAUCAAAUCGUACCCCAAACCGACACAGGUGGUCAGGUAGAGAAUACCAAGGCGCUUGAGAGAACUCGGGUGAAGGAACUAGGCAAAAUGGUGCCGUAACUUCGGGAGAAGGCACGCUGAUAUGUAGGUGAAGUCCCUCGCGGAUGGAGCUGAAAUCAGUCGAAGAUACCAGCUGGCUGCAACUGUUUAUUAAAAACACAGCACUGUGCAAACACGAAAGUGGACGUAUACGGUGUGACGCCUGCCCGGUGCCGGAAGGUUAAUUGAUGGGGUCAGCGCAAGCGAAGCUCUUGAUCGAAGCCCCGGUAAACGGCGGCCGUAACUAUAACGGUCCUAAGGUAGCGAAAUUCCUUGUCGGGUAAGUUCCGACCUGCACGAAUGGCGUAAUGAUGGCCAGGCUGUCUCCACCCGAGACUCAGUGAAAUUGAACUCGCUGUGAAGAUGCAGUGUACCCGCGGCAAGACGGAAAGACCCCGUGAACCUUUACUAUAGCUUGACACUGAACAUUGAGCCUUGAUGUGUAGGAUAGGUGGGAGGCUUUGAAGUGUGGACGCCAGUCUGCAUGGAGCCGACCUUGAAAUACCACCCUUUAAUGUUUGAUGUUCUAACGUUGACCCGUAAUCCGGGUUGCGGACAGUGUCUGGUGGGUAGUUUGACUGGGGCGGUCUCCUCCUAAAGAGUAACGGAGGAGCACGAAGGUUGGCUAAUCCUGGUCGGACAUCAGGAGGUUAGUGCAAUGGCAUAAGCCAGCUUGACUGCGAGCGUGACGGCGCGAGCAGGUGCGAAAGCAGGUCAUAGUGAUCCGGUGGUUCUGAAUGGAAGGGCCAUCGCUCAACGGAUAAAAGGUACUCCGGGGAUAACAGGCUGAUACCGCCCAAGAGUUCAUAUCGACGGCGGUGUUUGGCACCUCGAUGUCGGCUCAUCACAUCCUGGGGCUGAAGUAGGUCCCAAGGGUAUGGCUGUUCGCCAUUUAAAGUGGUACGCGAGCUGGGUUUAGAACGUCGUGAGACAGUUCGGUCCCUAUCUGCCGUGGGCGCUGGAGAACUGAGGGGGGCUGCUCCUA